rnacentral:pre_miRNA from 1 species
UAUUGCACAUUACUAAGUUGCACGUUCUCACGGCCUCAGUGCAAUUUAGUGUGUGCGAUACU